rnacentral:rRNA from 1 species
UUACGGAGAGUUUGAUUCUGGCUCAGAACGAACGCUGGCGGCGUGUUUAAGACAUGCAAGUCGAACGGGAUGAAGUUGUAGCAAUACCGCUUCAUUCAGUGGCGCACGGGUGCGUAACACGUGAGUUACAUGCCCUGCAGUGGGGAAUAGCCCGCCGAAAGGCGGAUUAAUACCCCAUGGUCCCGCAAGGGUAAAGGUGGCGAAAGCUGCCGCUGCAGGAUUGGCUCGCGGCCUAUCAGCUAGUUGGCGGGGUAACGGCCCACCAAGGCUACGACGGGUACCUGGUCUGAGAGGAUGAUCAGGCACACUGGAACUGAGACACGGUCCAGACACCUACGGGUGGCAGCAGUCGAGAAUAAUUCACAAUGGGGGAAACCCUGAUGGUGCAACGCCGCGUGGAGGAUGAAGGUCUUCGGAUUGUAAACUCCUGUCAUCCGGGAGUAAGACCUGACGGUGAAUAGCCGGCAGGGUUGAUAGUACCGGAAGAGGAAGGGACGGCUAACUUCGUGCCAGCAGCCGCGGUAAUACGAAGGUCCCAAGCGUUGUUCGGAAUCACUGGGCGUAAAGGGAGCGUAGGCUGCGCGGUAAGUCAGAUGUGAAAUCCCGGGGCUCAACCCCGGAACUGCAUCCGAUACUGCCGUGCUUGAGGGUUGGAGAGGUAGCUGGAAUUCUCGGUGUAGCAGUGAAAUGCGUGGAUAUCGAGAGGAACACUCGUGGCGAAGGCGAGCUACUGGACAACAUCUGACGCUGAGGCUCGAAGGCUAGGGGAGCAAAAGGGAUUAGAUACCCCUGUAGUCCUAGCAGUAAACGGUGUGCGCUUGGUGUGAGGGGAUUCGACCCCCCUUGUGCCGGAGCUAACGCGUUAAGCGCACCGCCUGGGAAGUACGGCCGCAAGGCUAAAACUCAAAGAAAUUGACGGGGACCCGCACAAGCGGUGGAGUAUGUGGCUUAAUUCGAUGCAACGCGAAGAACCUUACCAAGGCUUGACAUGCAUCUCUAAGCGCGUGAAAGCGCGUGACCCUUCGGGGAAUUUGCACAGGUGCUGCAUGGCCGUCGUCAGCUCGUGUCGUGAGAUGUUGGGUUAAGUCCCGCAACGAGCGCAACCCCUGUGAUUAGUUGCCAGCACGUUAUGGUGGGGACUCUAGUCAGACUGCCCAGAUCAACUGGGAGGAAGGUGGGGACGACGUCAGGUCAGUAUGGCCCUUACGCCUUGGGCUGCACACGUACUACAAUGCCCAGCACAAUGAGAACCGAGACCGCGAGGUGGAGGAAAUCUAUAAAACUGGGCCCAGUUCGGAUUGGAGGCUGCAACUCGCCUCCAUGAAGCCGGAAUCGCUAGUAAUGCUGCAUCAGCUACGGCAGCGUGAAUACGUUCCCGGGUCUUGUACACACCGCCCGUCACAUCAUGGAAGCCGGUAGCACCCGAAGUAUCGCACGAUCCUAAGGUGAAGCUGGUAACUGGGAUGAAGUCGUAACAAGGUAGCCGUAGGGGAACCUGCGGCUGGAUCACCUCCUUUCUAUGGAG